rnacentral:rRNA from 1 species
UGAACGCUGGCGGCGUGCCUACUACAUGCACGUCGAGCGAACGGACGAGAAGCUUGCUUCUCUGAUGUUAGCGGCGGACGGGUGAGUAACACGUGGAUAACCUACCUAUAAGACUGGGAUAACUUCGGGAAACCGGAGCUAAUACCGGAUAAUAUUUUGAACCGCAUGGUUCAAAAGUGAAAGACGGUCUUGCUGUCACUUAUAGAUGGAUCCGCGCUGCAUUAACUAGUUGGUAAGGUAACGGCUUACCAAGGCAACGAUGCAUAGCCGACCUGAGAGGGUGAUCGGCCACACUGGAACUGAGACACGGUCCAGACUCCUACGGGAGGCAGCAGUAGGGAAUCUUCCGCAAUGGGCGAAAGCCUGACGGAGCAACGCCGCGUGAGUGAUGAAGGUCUUCGGAUCGUAAAACUCUGUUAUUAGGGAAGAACAUAUGUGUAAGUAACUGUGCACAUCUUGACGGUACCUAAUCAGAAAGCCACGGCUAACUACGUG